rnacentral:rRNA from 1 species
GAGGCAGCAGUGGGGAAUAUUGCACAAUGGGCGCAAGCCUGAUGCAGCCAUGCCGCGUGUGUGAAGAAGGCCUUAGGGUUGUAAAGCACUUUCAGCGAGGAGGAAGGCAUCACACUUAAUACGUGUGGUGAUUGACGUUACUCGCAGAAGAAGCACCGGCUAACUCCGUGCCAGCAGCCGCGGUAAUACGCAGGGUGCAAGCGUUAAUCGGAAUUACUGGGCGUAAAGCGCACGCAGGCG